GACGUAGGGCGCGAGCGUUGUCCGGAAUUAUUGGGCGUAAAGAGCUCGUAGGCGGUCAGUCGCGUCUGCUGUGAAAACUCGGGGCUUAACUCCGGGCCUGCAGUGGGUACGGGCAGACUAGAGUGCGGUAGGGGGAGAUUGGAAUUCCUGGUGUAGCGGUGGAAUGCGCAGAUAUCAGGAGGAACACCAAUGGCGAAGGCAGAUCUCUGGGCCGUAACUGACGCUGAGGAGCGAAAGCAUGGGGAGCGAACAGG
rnacentral:rRNA from 1 species